AAAAAGAGGAGACGAGGCUCAGGCUAGUAACGGGAGAAACGAGGAAAGGAAUAACGACGCAACGAAGGAGCUAGUUUUAGCCUCGUCCUCGCUAGCUGGGAGAAGAAGGAGACUGUGUGUGUGAGGGAGAAUAUUUUGCGCCGGGUUUUCUGAUGUGCCUCAAGCCUACAUGCUUGCCGCCUGCCUGCUGCCACGCAUGCUACUGCUGCUGUAGAGGGUGCUCGGGACUUCGCUGCCGCCAGAGGACCUGAUGUCGCACAUGGACGUGUCUUCAGGACUGGUUUCUCCAUCUCAUCACCUUUCUUCACUGAACCGACGGUUUGAGGAAACUGCUGCUAACCGUUUCUGAAUCUCCAAGGAUUACCUCCUUCCGGAAGAACCCUGCAGGUCUUACCACUCUCACCCAGCGAGCCCAGUAUUUCCAGGAUGACAUGUCGGCGCUCUGCAUCAGAUGCUCGUUUCAGCUGGAACGUUAGUACAUCUGCCACAUCCUGUUCU